rnacentral:rRNA from 1 species
UAACUGCGAGUGAAGUGGCAAAAGCUCAAAUUUGAAAUCCGGUACCUCUGGUGCCUGAGUUGUAAUUUGGAGAGACAGAUCUUGCGGAUGGCGCCGGCCUAGGUUCCUUGGAACAGGACAACACAGAGGGUGAGAAUCCCGUGCAUGGCUGGAUUGCUGUCGCGUAAUAGACUGUCUUCGACGAGUCGAGUUGUUUGGGAAUGCAGCUCAAAAUGGGUGGUAAAUGUCAUCUAAAGCUAAAUAUUGGCGAGAGACCGAUAGCGCACAAGUAGAGUGAUCGAAAGAUGAAAAGCACUUUGAAAAGAGAGUCAAAAAGUACGUGAAAUUGCUGAAAGGGAAGCGCUUGAGACCAGACUCGAGUCGUGGUGAUCAGUCGUGCUUCUGUACGGUGCCACUUGCCACGGUUUGGGCCAGCAUCGGUUCCGGCGGUCGGAUAAAAGGUUUGGGAAUGUAGCUUCCUUCGGGGAGUGUUAUAGCCCUCAUCACAAUGCGGCCAGCUGGGAUCGAGGACCGCGCUUUAGGGCUAGGAUGCUGGCGUAAUGGUCUUAAGCGACCCGUCUUGAAACACGGACCAAGGAGUCUAACAUCUAUGCAAGUGUUCGGGUGAAAAACCCUUGCGCGUAAUGAAAGUGAACGGAGGUGGGAACCCUUUCAUGGGUGCACCAUCGACCGAUCCUGAUGUCUUCGGAAGG